UGAAUAAACUAACAACCAGCCAUUGUAUUUAUUUAUUAGUGCAUGUAUUUGUAGUAAAACAUGAGAUGAAACAUCCUACUUUUGGAUCUAGAACUGCACAAGCCGUUCAUUUUCAGUCACCUGAUGAGUUAAACUCCCCUUUUAAUGUGAGGUUGAAGCAGAAAGUUCUUUAUAAUUUGCGAUACCUGUUAUCUCUGAAUGAGGCUUUAGUUUUUGUUGAGCUGAUUUACACUUCAGGAAAAGUACAAUAUAACAGUAUAACAUUAUGACCACCUGACUAAUACUGUGUUGGUCCCUUUAUGCUGCUAAAACUCCUCUGACCCAGUGGUUCAUCAGAACCUCUGGGGAUGUCCUGUGGAUUCUGUGGAUCCUGUGGGUUGCAGGGUGGGUCCUACCUAGACCAGGCUGAUCCUGGACCAUCCCACAGAUGCUCAAUCAGAUGUGGAUGUGGGGAGUGUGGAACCCAGAUGUUCAGAGGGAGAUGAUGCCACAUCUGGUCCAGCUGAUGGAAGGUCUUGAAGUUCUCUGACUGGCCUCGACUGAAGAUGGUCGUCUCACUGGAUUUAAGGUUCAGAUGCUCAGUAACAAACUCCACCAAUGUGCCAACAGGGAAGCUUUAGGUUUAUUAAAUGUUGCUAUGAAGGUAUCGCUGUUUUUCUUUGUGAAUGCAAUGUGCUCCAACUGAAACUUGAAUUAGAACUUAGAAGUAAAUCCUUCCAUCUGAAAGGAUUUAGUUGCAUUAAUAACCUCAUAACAUUCUAAUUUUUAUUCCAGUCUUGGUUGGAAAUAGAAUCUCUGUAUUGAUUCAGGUAAAAACUGAACUUCACAGCAUGUUGGAGCAAAACAACCAGAUGAAAACUGUGAUGGUGUUGGAUUGUCAGACCGUAAUGUUGCAGCUCAAAGCAGCUUUUCUAGCUCAGUUCAUUCUGACAUUCAGCUAUGAAUCAACACAGCAGAUGGUGAUCCAUGCUGUGGAAGUCUCACAUCUCCUGAUUUAAUGGAGCUGCUUUGCACUUUUUACACUGUUUAUUCACCAACACUUUAUUUAAUAAAAGUCCCAUCUAGUUUUUAUGAGGAAUGUGAUGUUUUAAUUUCUCUGUGAAUAACUGCAGUCUAAUGCAACAGCUGGAGUUGUAACAUCUGUCCUGAUAUUGAUCAUGAAGUAUUGAUCAGAAUACUUAUGGUUAGCAGUCAUCCCUGAAGUUUUACAUUAAAAUCUUUACUUGUGUUGUGAACUUUGGUAAGAAGCAGAAACUUUAGCGUUGCCAUGGAUACAUGAGUGUUAAAUUCUGUCCAUGUUUCCAUUUUGGGAAAUUCAGUCCAGUUCCAGAAUGUGGAGGAAUUUAGUCUCACAAUCACAGACAACAAAUAUUAUCUGAAAGUCGGGUUAUUGUUGUUUAUCAGCACAAUACAAAAAGAUUAAUGUUAGAAAUAUUCCAGUUAAGACUCUAGAAUAUCAUGAUUUAUGUAAAUUUACCUCAAUAAUAUGAAUGUUCAGGUUAAGAUUGUACAGUGAUAUUUAUUAUGUAAGUUUAGCUGAUUAAAGUUUAUGACUCUGCACUAAAAUAUUAUUUAAAUUGACAUCAUUAUUAUAAUAUUUAGGGUCAGACCCUACAGUAUUGAGAUUAAGAAAUCAAAUAUUCUAUAAAAUGUAAAUACACUGAACUCAUUUGGAUAUAUUUAAGUGAGACUCUACAAUAUUAUUUGACACAAAUCUAUCUAAAUCAAAAUUUUAAUAAUUUUCACUCCAAACAUUUACUGGACUGAUUUCAAUAUUAAAAUCACUCCUUUCUAAUCCUCUGCUGUACCUUCAAACCUGAGGCCUUAAAUAGAAACACACAAGUAUCUGUUUGAAGGAACUUCUGCAGAGUCCUGGUUCCAGAACAUGAUGAUAGAAUUAUAGACAAACUUUAACAAAAGCUGCCUGAGAGUUUACAGGUUUUUAUCUUAGAUUUCUUCAGUAAUUUAAUGAGAGUUAUCAGCAAAAAUCAAGUGUUCAUUUGAUGAACUUGAUUUCCUAAAACAUCCAGAAUUGGAGCUCAUAUCUUUGGCAGCUGUAAAGUUUCUGCUCCUUCAAAGUUCACAACACAAUGAAUGAAUUCCUAAAACACUCUCAAUGCUGGAGAGCGUUUGUGAUGCUGAAGCAGUGACCAGUUUUUCUGUUUCUUCUCUGGAGAUGCACAAUGAGGGACGUCUGCAGAGACUGAGAAAGAGUCUCACCACAUCCUGACAUGAGGAAAAAGACUUUAUUGAAGACUACAAUGAGAAAAACUAUCAGACAGCAGACGGCUGCAUUCAAGGUGAGCUCUGAACAUUUGAUCUGGAACAGGAAUUCAAUAACGGCAGCAUGAGCUUCAUUUCAGUCUGUAGCUGCUGAAUUCAUGGAUGAAUCAUCUGGCACUAGAGAGGAAGACCAUCAAACAUCCACGUCAGCUGAUGGAGGUCCAAGAGUCUCACCAAACAAACAACCUACAGAGUGAAGACCUCAAAUCUGAUUGGACGGCCUCCUAUUCAGCCACGUGUGAACAAAUGCCUCUAAGCUGAUUUGUUUUCUAAAAUAAAUCUAGUUUGAGUCCUAA